ACCUCUGAACCUCACCUUUUAAACCCUAGUUGUAAAAAUCUAUGUCGCUCUCUUCCCUCACCAUGACCGGUAUGUAUAAAAAGAUACUCGAUCAUCCAAGUUCUUCGUUGUGCAAUUGAUUUAUGUAAUUGUAGUUCUCACAACGAUUUUCCAUGCGAGACUAUUCUAAAUCCAAUCUCAUCUCUCUGUUAUCACAAGUCUCGCCCGCACAAUUCCCCUCACAACCUGAACCUCCCCUCUAGGUUCUUUGCGACAUACCAUUUCCCCAACAACAAGCUGAACAUCUACUGGAAAUUAGACUUGUUAACGUUUCUCAACCGCACG
rnacentral:lncRNA from 1 species